rnacentral:misc_RNA from 1 species
GCUGAACAAGUGGUUUUGGAUUCCUUCAACUUUCUCUUGUUUCUACUCUAAGUCUUCUGUUGCUGAUACUAUGAUAAGAAUAUUGGAUUAUAUGUGCGAUUUGACGCCUUGACUGUAUUCUUGGAAAUGGUGGACCUCAAGAUUCACUUGUAGAAAAGGAUGAUGCUUCUCUGCCAAAUUUGAUUCUGAAAGUUUAAUGACAAAUGUUAAAUUGGUACUCUUUUGGGUAUUUAUGGCAGUUUGACUUGAAAUGACUUUAGGGUGGUUGGUUGAAUCCUGCGAUGGUUUGGUAAAUGAAGAAAAGAAUUAUAAUUUUAAUAUUCUAGAAUAGGGGAUACAGGUUUGGGGCUGCUUGAAUUUA